rnacentral:rRNA from 1 species
AUUGAACGCUGGCGGCAGGCCUAACACAUGCAAGUCGAACGGUAGCAGGAAGAAGCUUGCUUCUUUGCUGACGAGUGGCGGACGGGUGAGUAAUGUCUGGGAAACUGCCUGAUGGAGGGGGAUAACUACUGGAAACGGUAGCUAAUACCGCAUAACGUCGCAAGACCAAAGAGGGGGACCUUCGGGCCUCUUGCCAGCAGAUGUGCCCAGAUGGGAUUAGCUAGUAGGUGGGGUAACGGCUCACCUAGGCGACGAUCCCUAGCUGGUCUGAGGGGAUGACCAGCCACACUGGAACUGAGACACGGUCCAGACUCCUACGGGAGGCAGCAGUGGGGAAUAUUGCACAAUGGGCGCAAGCCUGAUGCAGCCAUGCCGCGUGUGUGAAGAAGGCCUUCGGGUUGUAAAGCACUUUCAGCGGGGAGGAAGGGGGAAUGGUUAAUAACCAUUGUCAUUGACGUUACCCGCAGAAGAAGCACCGGCUAACUCCGUGCCAGCAGCCGCCGUAA